AAAAUCCGUCGAUUUCAAAAAUCGUGAGGGUUCAAG
rnacentral:tRNA from 1 species